AGUGAACGCUGGCGGUAGGCCUAACACAUGCAAGUCGAACGGCAGCACAGGAGAGCUUGCUCUCUGGGUGGCGAGUGGCGGACGGGUGAGGAAUACAUCGGAAUCUACUCUGUCGUGGGGGAUAACGUAGGGAAACUUACGCUAAUACCGCAUACGACCUACGGGUGAAAGCAGGGGAUCUUCGGACCUUGCGCGAUUGAAUGAGCCGAUGUCGGAUUAGCUAGUUGGCGGGGUAAAGGCCCACCAAGGCGACGAUCCGUAGCUGGUCUGAGAGGAUGAUCCGCCACACUGGAACUGAGGCACGGUCCAGACUCCUACGGGAGGGAGCAGUGGGGAAUAUUGGACAAUGGGCGCAAGCCUGAUCCAGCCAUACCGCGUGGGUGAAGAAGGCCUUCGGGUUGUAAAGCCCUUUUGUUGGGAAAGAAAUCCAGCUGGCUAAUACCCGGUUGGGAUGACGGUACCCAAAGAAUAAGCACCGGCUAACUUCGUGCCAGCCGCCGCGGUAA
rnacentral:rRNA from 1 species